CUGUGAUGGUCCCAUUUUUUAUUGAAAACUACUAUUUCUCUCUUUCCUCUGGCAUUUUCCCCUCUUCCUUCAAACAUGCAGUUAGCAUGUGCAUAUGUUCUCUUGUCCCAGAUUCUUUGCCUAACUGUUGUCCUUUCUCUCUCUUUCCCUUUGCCUCCACGCUCCUUGAAAGACUUCUGCAUACUCAACAUGCACACCAUCUAAGCUCCAAAUCCUUACAGUCUGGCUUUCAUUACCAAUAUCCCACUGAUACCAUCCUAACCAAGGUGACUAAUGACUAAAGGCAAAUCCAAGGCAAUUAUUAGCCACUUAUUCUUUGUGAUCUUUCUGCUGUUUUCAACACUAUUGACCACUUGCUUCUCCUUCACACCCUUCACAACAUUGGCCUCAGUGACAAUGCUCUUUCCUAGUUCUCUUCUUAACUCAUUGACUGCUGCUUUAGUGUCUCCUUCUCUGGUUCCUUGUCCCCUUCUGUACCUCUCACAGUUGGAGAUCCUCAAGGAGGAUAAUUGCAUAGAGUGUCAUUGUAGAGAGGACUGUGGAGAAAGUGAGCAAUUAAUGUGUUUUGUUUUUUUUGUAUGGCAGAUAGGUUGCAGCUAGAGGCUUUCAAUUCCACAUUUGAGAGACUGUCCGAUUGGGUCUUCAAGCAAUCAAUCA